rnacentral:rRNA from 1 species
GACGAACGCUGGCGGCGUGCCUAAUACAUGCAAGUGGGACGCAAGGAAACACACUGUGCUUGCACACCGUGUUUUCUUGAGUCGCGAACGGGUGAGUAACGCGUAGGUAACCUGCCUAUUAGCGGGGGAUAACUAUUGGAAACGAUAGCUAAUACCGCAUAAUAUUAAUUAUUGCAUGAUAAUUGAUUGAAAGAUGCAAGCGCAUCACUAGUAGAUGGACCUGCGUUGUAUUAGCUAGUUGGUAAGGUAAGAGCUUACCAAAGCGACGAUACAUAGCCGACCUGAGAGGGUGAGCGGCCACACUGGGACUGAGACACGGCCCAGACUCCUAAGGGAGGCAGCAGUAGGGAAUCUUCGGCAAUGGACGAAAGUCUGACCGAGAAACGCCGCGUGAGUGAAGAAGGGUUUCGGAUCGUAAAGCUCGGUUGUAAGUCAAGAACGUGUGUGAGAGUGGAAAGUUCACACAGUGACGGUAGCUUACCAGAAAGGGACGGCUAACUACGUG